UAUGUUGAAGCAGUGUAUAACAUAUUACAUGUAUCAUUCAAAUAAAAUGUGUAAUUUCUAGCCUUGUCUAGAAUGGCGACAUUAUGGCACUUUCUGUAUUUUCUGUUGAUUGUGGCGCUGUCUCAGUCAGAGCUACAGCAGAACACAAUGAAUGAAAUAGACCAGUUUGGCGAAUCACAGAUGAGUUAUCUAAACAUAGGAAACCGAAUCAAUGACUACAAAUAUUAUGAACACGAGUAUAAACUGUGACCUUUAGGAGUGGUGCCGUACACUUUUGACGAAAAAGCAAACUUCAGUAUAUCAGACAAGAAAAUAAUUUUGGGUGCGAUGAGAAUAAUUGAGGAUGUACUAUUAUCUCGCAAGAUAUCAGACAGAUGGUGCCAAAUAAAGUUUGUGCCAAAAAAAAGUUACCACAAGGACUAUGUAGAGAUAUUCAACAAAGGUCCUGGAAAAUGUUUUUCUAAUAUGGGAUACGUAACAGGAAAACAGGUCCUCAG